rnacentral:lncRNA from 1 species
GGAAUGCUUCCUUGCUUGUCCUCAGACCAAAAUAGGUAGCAAAAAUUUAAUUCAACCAGGGCCUCAGAUCCUUUAAUAUACAUAGCUGGAUUAAUGAAUCUUCAAAUUCCUAAAAUUCAGACUAGGAUUUCGUGUGUUUUAUAUUCAUGUGUCUUUUUCUUAAAAUGCCUCAAGUUUAAGAAUUCUGUAUUUACUUGUAAUCUAGAUACUGGCCAGACUUGGAUCUAGAUGGUAGAAAAAUGACAGGAGUUGGAUAGAGACCAGAGCUAACGGUCUUGAAAUACAAACACGAGGGUUAGAAUCAAAAGAAAGAUCCAAACUUUUUACUUAACAUUCCCCAAGGCACCACUCUUAAACUGCCUCAUUUUGAACCAUGGGCGAGAAUGCAGCAGAGUGAAUAGAGCUGUGUUCAGCAUAACAGGUUUUCGUUGUGUUGAGGGAUGUGGCUGUGGAUCUCAUGUGGGAAAAGUGGAGCCUGUAGAAUCCUUAAAAGGAUCUGAACAUGCCAGGCACUGUGGUGUACAUCUGUAAUCCCAGCAGCUUGGGAAGCUAAGGCAGCAGGAUCUCAAGUUCAAAGCCAGCCUCAGUAAAAGCAAGGUUCUAAGCAACUCAGUGAGACCUGUCUAUAAAUAAAAUACAAAAUAGGGCUGGGGAUGUGGCUCAGUGGUCAAGUGCCCCUGAGUUCAAUCCCCAGUACCAAAAAAACAAAAAAACCAAACCUGUACAGGGAAGUGAUGGAGAACCAUAGCCACUGAUCUUACUGGGUGAUGAUGAUGGCUUCUGUUAAAACUUAAAAUCUGAUCCACUGAACAACUUAAACCCCUUGUGCUGAAAAGGUAGUGCAUAAAGCAGCUGCCAAACAUAACUGAAUUAGGAUUCAACUUGAAAACAAAGACAUGCUUUUCCACAUUCUCCCAGGGAAGGUCUGGAAUUUGUGUGUGUGUGUGUGUGUGUGUGUGUACACUUGACAGUAGGUACAUAGAUGCGUGUGUGUGCAUGCAUGCCUGCAUAUACUAUUUUUCAGGCCUUUUCCCCCAGCUGGGUUUUCUUAGGUAAUCUUGAUUCAAGUGGAAGAUUUUUGUUCACCCAGUAAGGAGUAGAUUCGGUGUGCUCUCUUGCUAAUCUGAGGCUCCCUUCCCUUUCCACUGCUAGAGCUCACCCUUCUGAGGUCUUUCUUGCUGCACUCUGGACACCUCUACCCUGAAAUGGUACCAUAAGUACAUAACCUACAAUUGCCUCAUUGUAUUUCUCUAUGAACAGAAAUUUCACUUGUCUGAACCCAAACUUCUCACUCAGCUGGAGCUGUCCAGAAGUUACCUUAGGCCCCUAUCUAGGUGAAGGGGAGCUCAAUCCAGUGACACAGCAGUCAGCAGGUAACACAUUGAGGUAUGGAGAAGAAAGCUGUUCUCUUGGCAUCCUCUUGGCUAUUCUCUUGGCUGCUAUUUACACUGCUCAGCCCUAUAACUUAGUCUGCCAUAACAAAAUACCAUAGGUUGGGUGGCUUAAGUGAUAGAAAUUUAUCUUCUCACAGCUCUGGAGGCUGGAAGUCUGAAAUAAGAGUUUAAGUAUGGUUGGGUUCUGGUGAGGGCCCUCUUCCUGGCAUGCAGUUGGCCAUCUUCUUGCUAUACCCUCUUAUGGUACAGAGAAAGGUUCUUCACUCUCUGGUGUCUUUUAUAAGGGCACUAAUCCAACCCAUCAUGAAGGCCCAUUCUCAUGACCUAAUCAAAAUCUAAUUGUCUUCAUAGGCUCCAUUUUCAAAUUUUGUAGCAUAGGAAGUUAAGCUUCUAAGUAGGACUUUUGGGUGAUCAUAAUUCAAUCCAUAGCAUCUUGCUUCCUUUCUAAGCUUUCAUCUUUAACCAAGAGAAGAUUUUGUGGUCUACUGUGUCCCCUUCCUCCAUUGGGAAACUGCCCUUUCUGUUACUACUUGACCUCUCUAGCUUAUACUCUAUUUAUAUACUUCAGUCUCCCUGAUCUUAAAGGUUCACAAACUUUGGGUGCCAAAGAUUGCCCAAGAAAUUGUAUUGAGUAUCUAUCCCACCUGUGUUCUGAUCCAAAAGUUUGGACUUGGGAUAUCUGGUCCCAAUUAUUUGUGAUUAUAGGUAAGUUACUUGCCUGCUCAAAGUUGGUCAAGAUCAUGGUUUUCAGUUAUAAAAAUAAAAGUGAAACUUUUGAUGACACUGAAUACUUCUUAAUUAUUAAAGACCAAA